rnacentral:rRNA from 1 species
UACCCUACGGGGCGCAGCAGUGGGGAAUUUUGGACAAUGGGCGCAAGCCUGAUCCAGCUAUUCCGCGUGUGGGAAGACGGCCUUCGGGUUGUAAACCACUUUUGUAGAGAACGAAAAGUCUGUUGAUAAUGCCGAUAGAUGAUGACGGUACUCUAAGAAUAAGCACCGGCUAACUACGUGCCAGCAGCCGCGGUAAUACGUAGGGUGCGAGCGUUAAUCGGAAUUACUGGGCGUAAAGGGUGUGCAGGCGGUUUUGCAAGGUGGAUGUGAAAGGCCCGGGGUUAAACUGGGGAAGCCACACAUGA